GAUGAAGAACGUAGCGAAAUGCGAUACGUAAUGUGAAUUGCAAAUUCAGUGAAUCAUCGAGUCUUUGAACGCACAUUGCGCCCCCUGGUAUUCCGGGGGGCAUGCCUGUCCGAGCGUCAUUGCUGCCCUCAAGCACGGCUUGGGUGUUGGGCCCCGUCCUCCGAUCCCGGGGGACGGGCCCGAAAGGCAGCGGCGGCACCGCGUCCGGUCCUCGAGCGUAUGGGGCUUUGUCACCCGCUCUGUAGGCCCGGCCGGCGCUUGCCGAUCAACCCAAAUUUUUAUCCAGGUUGACCUCGGAUCAGGUAGGGAUACCCGCUGAACUUAAGAAUAUCAAUAAGCGGAGGA
rnacentral:misc_RNA from 1 species